rnacentral:rRNA from 1 species
GCGAAAGCGUGGGGAGCAAACAGGAUUAGAUACCUGGUAGUCCACGCUGUAAACGAUGUCGAUUUGGAGGUUGUUCCUUGAGGAGUGGCUUCCGGAGCUAACGCGUUAAAUCGACCGCUGGGGAGUACGGCCGCAAGGUUAAAACUCAAAUGAAUUGACGGGGGCCCGCACAAGCGGUGGAGCAUGUGGUUUAAUUCGAUGCAACGCGAAGAACCUUACCUACUCUUGACAUCCAGAGAAUUUAGCAGAGAUGCUUUAGUGCCUUCGGGAACUCUGAGACAGGUGCUGCAUGGCUGUCGUCAGCUCGUGUUGUGAAAUGUUGGGUUAAGUCCCGCAACGAGCGCAACCCUUAUCCUUUGUUGCCAGCACAUUAUGGUGGGAACUCAAAGGAGACUGCCGGUGAUAAACCGGAGGAAGGUGGGGAUGACGUCAAGUCAUCAUGGCCCUUACGAGUAGGGCUACACACGUGCUACAAUGGCGUAUACAAAGAGAAGCGACCUCGCGAGAGCAAGCGGAACUCAUAAAGUACGUCGUAGUCCGGAUUGGAGUCUGCAACUCGACUCCAUGAAGUCGGAAUCGCUAGUAAUCGUAGAUCAGAAUGCUACGGUGAAUACGUUCCCGGGCCUUGUACACACCGCCCGUCACACCAUGGGAGUGGGUUGCAAAAGAAGUAGGUAGCUUAACCUUCGGGAGGGCGCUUACCACUUUGUGAUUCAUGACUGAGGUGAAGUCGUAACAAGGUAACCA